AGAGUUUGAUCCUGGCUCAGAACGAACGCUGGCGGCGGGCCUAACACAUGCAAGUCGAGCGCCCGCAAGGGAGCGGCAGACGGGUGAGUAACGCGUGGGAACGUGCCCUUUGGUUCGGAAUAUUCCCGGGAAACUGGGAGCAAAACCGGAUAAGCCCUUCGGGGGAAAGUUUACGCCAAGGAUCGGCCCGCGUUAGAUUAGGUAGUUGGUGGGGUAACGGCCUACCAAGCCUACGAUCUAUAGCUGAUCUGAGAGGAUGAUCAGCCACACUGGGACUGAGACACGGCCCAGACUCCUACGGGAGGCAGCAGUGGGGAAUCUUGGACAAUGGGCGCAAGCCUGAUCCAGCCAUGCCGCGUGGAUGACUGAAGGCCCUAGGGUUGUAAAGUCCUUUCGACGGGGACGAUAAUGACGGUACCCGUAGAAGAAGCCCCGGCUAACUUCGUGCCAGCAGCCGCGGUAAUACGAAGGGGGCUAGCGUUGCUCGGAUUUACUGGGCGUAAAGGGCGCGUAGGCGGAUUUUUAAGUCGGGGGUGAAAUCCCGGAGCUCAACUCCGGAACUGCCUUCGAUACUGGAAGUCUGGAGCACGGUAGAGGUGAGUGGAAUUCCGAGUGUAGAGGUGAAAUUCGUAGAUAUUCGGAGGAACACCAGUGGCGAAGGCGGCUCACUGGACCGUUGCUGACGCUGAGGCGCGAAAGCGUGGGGAGCGAACAGGAUUAGAUACCCUGGUAGUCC
rnacentral:rRNA from 1 species